UCUGACCCCCUUCUGGGCACUGGGCCACCAGCUGCUGGGCAUGGCCAGUGAGUGAGGGUGAGGGCAAGAUGAGGAAGAGGUGGCGUAAGGUGGGAAAGGAUUACUUGCCAGACGCUUGGCUGAGUCUGUUCUCUAAGCCAUGCUGCGAGGCAGGUGCUAUUGUGUCUGCAUUUUGCGGAUGAGGAAACUGUGGCUCAGAGAAGGGAAGUCACUGUUUUAAGGUGAAGUGGCCAGUGGAGGUGGGGCUAGGGUUCGAAUCCUAGGAUCAGGCACACUGCCUGGGGAUAACCUCUAGAGGUGUCUGUGCUUCCCAGCUAGACCGGAGCUCGCUGCAGCCCCUCACUUUUUCCCCGGUCCUGCUUCAGGCCCCACUUCCUCUCUGCAGGUGCUUAGGCCGAAAAUCAGGAAUCUCUUGAAUGAAUGCAUGAAGGUGGAGCCCUUUCCCUUAAUGCGCAGGUGAAAAGGGCACCUCGGUGGAUUCUACUAAAUUUAAUAGAAGGUGUCUACUCCUGCAGGCUUACCUGUAACCUUUGUCACUCACUCUUCUGAUUCUGCAAACAUAUAAACCACGGAGCCACAGCCAAGAGAAUCUGGACUUGUUCGUUUUUCCUGAAAUAGGAUAUCUUAAAUAAUCCGUGGCUCAGCACUGCGCCCUUUUUUUUCUUUUCUUUUCUUUUUUUUUUUUUUUUUGAGACGGAGUCUCGCUCUGUUGCCCAGGCUGGAGUGCAAUGUCAUGAUCUUGGCUCACUGCAACCUCUGCCUCCUGGGUUCAAGCAACUCUCCUGCCUCAGCCUCCUGAGGAGCUGGGACUGCAGGUGCAAGACACCACGCCUGGCUAAUUUUUGUUAUUUUUAGUAGAGACAGUGUUUCACUAUGUUGGCCAGGCUGGUCUCGAACUCCUGACCUCAAAUGAUCUGCCUGCCUCGGCCUCCCAAAGUGCUGGGAUUACAGGCACAAGCCACAGCACCCAGCCUCACUGUGCCCUUUUCACUGGCAGGCAUUUUAUUGUCCCUACAGACCCAAGACGGGGUGGGGGAGACGUGCUUUGUGCUCACCUGGCUGGUUCAUGGGCAGGUGGCCUGGAGGACCCAGCCCUGGCAGCUGUGGGGUAGCUCCAGCCUGGGCCGGACAGCUUCUUUCAUCGCAGGCACCACUGCGGACAUUGCUGGGAGGAAGAGGAGGGAGAAGCGACGGGCUUCAUUAGGAACGGAAAUGCCAAGAUUAGUGAAAGAAUGAAAAGAGUCAAAACAGCCUAGAAAAGGCUUCAAUGAUCCUCAAACUGGAUGAUCGAAUCCCGAAUAAUUGGGAAUCAACAGUAAAGGCCAAAGCUUUCGAUGGAUUGGACGAGGCGCGUCCACCCUGGGGAGGGCCAUCAUUUUAUUCAGUCUACUGAUGCAAAUGCUUAUCUCUUCUGGAAACACCUUCACAGACAGACCCAGAAUAUAGUUGAACCAAAUACUGGGCACCUCAUGGCUCCAACAGGUUGACACAAAAAAUGAACCAUUGCAGAAAACGAAGAACAGUCACCAACUCCCACCCAUGCAGCUGGCUCAUUUGCUGGGCUGCCCUCCCCAGCAGGUGGCACAGGAAUCCCUGCCUUGGCAGGGAGGAGGCCUGGGGUGUGUGCAGGUACCCAUGGGAAGUUUCUUUGCCAUGGGGAAAGCCAGAGUCACCCCUUGCUUGAACACAAGAGUUGGAGGUUUCAGUGAGCUGAGAUUACGCUAUUGCACUCCAGCCUGGGCGGCAGAGUGAGACUCUGUCUCUAGAUAAAUAAAUUAAAUAAAUAAAUAAAUAUAAUUUAAUAUAAAUAACUA
rnacentral:lncRNA from 1 species